rnacentral:tRNA from 1 species
GCUAUUAGCUCAGUUGGUAGAGCAGUUGACUCUUCAUCAGCGGGUCCGGGGUUCGAAUCCCUGAUGGCGCA